rnacentral:tRNA from 1 species
ACUAUUUUGGCAGAAGAGAGUGUAAUAGAUUUAGAAUCUAGUAAUAUGAUGAUAAUCAUAAGUAGUA